rnacentral:rRNA from 1 species
UACAGAGGUGGCAAGCGUUGUUCGGAAUUACUGGGCGUAAAGGGCGCGUAGGCGGCUUUUCAAGUGACGGGUGAAAUCCCUCGGCUUAACCGAGGAACUGCCUGUCAGACUGUGAGGCUUGAGACCGGGAGAGGUGAGUGGAAUUCCCAGUGUAGCGGUGAAAUGCGUAGAUAUUGGGAGGAACACCAGUGGCGAAGGCGGCUCACUGGACCGGAACUGACGCUGAGGCGCGAAAGCGUGGGGAGCAAACAGG